GUGAGCCCCCCAACGUCAGCACGGUGAUGUGCGACACGAGUGAGCCUUUCUACUUUUUGGCGGAGACCCCUUUUCGCCAGCAAGUGUCUCGGUGUCUCCGUGAAGCACCGAAGUGUAGCUACAGCCCUCUUCGGCGAGCUGAACGGGCUGCCGAGCUUUCGAAGGCCGAUCUCCCGCAGCGCUGGCACCCGGAGAACCGCGCCAUGGCGCUCGCUGGGAAUCCACCGGCUGCCGUGCUACUGAAAGGGCCCUCUGCUCGGAGGACAUGUUGCGGGCCCUGUGUAAUGCCCUCGGCGCCUGUGCGACUUCCAGGGGGUCUGCGUUUCCCGGCCCCGUUACCAGCUGGGAAGUUCUCCAUGGAGGGGACGACAUCCUGUCCAGCACCAGCUUCACCAUCUGGGACCAAGUGCACGAGGGGUCGCACUGCAAGCAGAUGAAAGGAGGGCACUGCGACCUUGAGGUCAAGCUUGUACAUCUACCAUUACAGAGUCCGGAAUGGAUGCCAAUUGGUACUGAUGACCUUGUGAAGGUGAAACGUCCCUGGAUCUAAUGGGAAAAUCUGAUUGAAGGCGAGCUGAAGUUGUUUCUGACUUUUUCCUCUUAUGACUUGAAAGUAAUCUGCCUACUUCAUGAAUUUUGAAGAUGCAUGCAAAAUUUGAUCGACGAAGUCCCUAUCCUUCGAGAACAAGUGUCAACGGGGGAUAGUCGAAAGACCACCCACUUCAACGUAAUGUGCACAUUGAAACAUGUUCCUUUUCUGCUUUCCGGAGAGCAAAAAAGCCAACGAAUCUCCCUCUUCCUUUUCGCAAUGGGGAGGUGUGCAAGACUGACUGCAUAUUUUAUAUAUGCAAUCAGUUUCAUAAGUGAAUGAAGACAAAAGCAGAAUACAUGUUCACAGAUUAUUUGUGAAUUCUUAGACUUGCUGAAUUGAGUAGUUUAUGUUCGAGUCAUGUAAUAUGAAGUCAAAACCAGAUUUAGUGCAUUUUUAAGAAGCCUUUUAGACCUGAGAGUUCUGCUUUGACUCAGCAAUACACAACUCACCUUUGUUAUUCCUAUAGCACAGCCGAAACUAUAAACACGAGCAUGUUGCCUGACCAAUGCUUGAACUGCCGUGAAAUCGACGAAGUCCCUAUCCUUCGAGAACAAGUGUCAACGGGGGAUAGUCGAAAGACUAGGGUAUUUAUUGCACACACAUACUUGAUUUCAAGCUUGCAGAUUGAAAUAAUUGUUUAUUGAGUCAUAUUCAUUCUUAAACUUGUUUGAGAUUGUAUUGGUUCAUAUUCACAGUAUAUUUAUUUUUCAUUUCAGCAAGGAAUAUUUUAGAGACAGAUGUUGGUGUUCAGGCGUGAUGCUUUUAUUUUCGUAACAUGCAAGAGUGGAAAAAAUUAGAUUCGGCUUUGUAAACUGAUUUUUUUUAUGUAUUCUUCCAAACAGCAUAGCAAACAAUAAUAUAAGGGCUACAGCUGCGAGAGUUGCUACACCUGGCAUCUCAUCUGUUUUAUAGCGUGUACAGGUGAGACACUAUACUCCGUUUCUCGGUAACUUGGCAAACAUUGCGACCCAAUAAGAGCAUCGGAGCCAGGCACGUGACAACACUCCGCGAUCGAGUCCUCGUUAUUGCCACAGCAAGAGCGCCAUCUGCGACAAAACAUAGUUCUAGGCUUUGUUUUUUCUUCUUCUUUUAGUAGUGUUGCCGUCGGAUUCUUCGGACCGCAACACGACACUGAAGAAAGACGAAGACAUAUGUCACUUAUUAACGACACUUAAUAUAGAUAAACACUUUUUUGAGAAAAACAUGGCUUGUGAUCGAUGUUCAAACAAUUGUAGCCGUGAAUCGACCACUUCCGCUCAAAACAUCGCCCUAGCAUUAGCACCCGCCACAGAUUCAUGGGCAAAUUGAGCAUGUGGUUUUCUCAUAAAAGUGCUCCUGAAGAGCUCGCUACUCUAGUGGACGGUAACGUUGCUGCAGUGGACGUUCAUCCAAAGUUGUUUGGUUUCUGAGCAGACGACAGCCGGUUCUGGCGGGUGGUUCUUGCAUUUGGCGCGGUGACACGAACGCUCCUGUGACAUGCGUCCAUGUGCCUCGCUCCGACAUUCUUACUGGGUCGCAGGAGCCGUAGCCUCCACAGUUCACCAAGUUAUCGUGAAACAGAAUCCAGACUAAGUUGCCUGCUAAUGAAAGUAGCCUUGCCAGCAUCAUGUAUUAUGUAUGAAAUAGUGUAUACUUCGAGAAAACAAAUAAAGUCUUUCAACCUUUCCACUGAUUGUGUUUGUUCAUUAGUAAAACUUGGUUCAGUGAACUUUACAUUUCAGCAGUAGCAUGGACACAACAGGUAAGGUCAAUUACAAGUGCUUUAGAGCAGUCCAUACAGUUUCCAAGUGGCUCAUGCAAAGCAGCUGACAUGGUAUUACCCCCAGGAAAAAGACGAGUCCUCCUUGACGAAUCUACUUCAGCCGC
rnacentral:lncRNA from 1 species